AGAGUUUGAUCCUGGCUCAGAACGAACGUUGGCGGCAUGGAUUAGGCAUGCAAGUCGGGGGAAUCCCAGCAAUGGGGGAACCGGCGUAAGGGGCAGUAAGGCAUGGGUACCUACCCUGAAGUUCGGGAUAGCCAUCAGAGAUGGUGGGUAAUACCGGAUGAUGUCGAGAGACCAAAGAUUUAUCGCUUUGGGAGGGGCCCAUGUGAUAUUAGCUAGUUGGUGAGGUAACGGCUCACCAAGGCGAAGAUGUCUAGCGGGUGUGAGAGCACGACCCGCGCCACUCGCACUGAGACACUGGCGAGACACCUACGGGUGGCUGCAGUCGAGGAUCUUCGGCAAUGGGCGAAAGCCUGACCGAGCGAUGCCGCGUGCGCGAUGAAGGCCUUCGGGUUGUAAAGCGCUUUAGUGGGGGAGAAAAGGGAAACCUUGAUCUAUCCCAAAAAUAAGCUCGGGCUAAGUUCGUGCCAGCAGCCGCGGUAAGACGAACCGAGCGAACGUUGUUCGGAAUCACUGGGCUUAAAGGGCGCGUAGGCGGGCUGUCAAGUCUGGGGUGAAAUCCCACGGCUCAACCGUGGAACUGCCUUAGAUACUGACGGCCUCGAGGGAGAUAGGGGCGAGCGGAACUGUGAGUGGAGCGGUGAAAUGCGUUGAUAUUCACAGGAACUCCGGUGGCGAAGGCGGCUCGCUGGAUCUCUUCUGACGCUGAGGCGCGAAAGCUAGGGGAGCAAACGGGAUUAGAUACCCCGGUAGUCCUAGCCCUAAACGUUGGGUACUGGGUAGUAGACUAGACAUGGGUUUACUGCCGCAGCAAAAGUGCUAAGUACCCCGCCUGGGGAGUAUGGUCGCAAGGCUGAAACUCAAAGGAAUUGACGGGGGCUCACACAAGCGGUGGGAGCAUGGUGGCUUAAUUCGAGGCUACGCG
rnacentral:rRNA from 1 species